GGACGCUUAGCUCAGUAGGUUAGAGCACCAUCUUCACACGGUGGGGGUCGCUGGUUCGAGUCCAGCAGCGUCCA
rnacentral:tRNA from 1 species